rnacentral:misc_RNA from 1 species
CAACCAGCUAUCGUCGCAUGAAUACCUUUUAACUACACAACCAACUGCUAGCUAUUUAACCGGCUAACGCUUCUAGUAGAGUAUAGUUGCACCUGCACGCUGCACGGUGCAUGGCAGAUAUUACCUGCGGUGAUUACGAGAUCACGGAACCUUCAAAAUUUUCUCCAAACGAGACAACGUUCGAUUACGUACUCACCUUAGCCAUAGUGAUAGUGUUGGUGGCGGCAUUGAGAUGAACGAAGACGGACAGGAGGAUGGCAGCUUGUAUCAUCGAGAUCAUCAUCGUGUCCUCGGCUGGUGGAUUUGCGCGCAAGAAUUCAUCGUGUCGAGAAUCAAAGAACACGUUCUGGCAGUGUGUACAUCUUGCAACACCUCACUUUCUUUAUAGCUACCGGUAUAGGCGUCGAAGUCGUCGAUCAAGAGCACAGAAGGCAAAGUGGCGAAGGUGUGUAGCUGGACGAGCAGCUUUGCGAGAGCCUUAUAGUCCUCCAAGUACCUAGGGUAUUGAUUUCUUCGUGAUCGUUUUGCGUUCGAUUUCAUAAUCGAAAGCGGAUUCACUGUUGCACUACGCGCGCGUAAUGCAACCUUAUUACAGAAUGAUCGCAGUUCGUUCGAAGCAGAUGUGAUCCACUUGGAUUUUCUUACAUUAUCUUACCAAAUCGUAUUUACCCUACCUUCUUAAGAUACAUUAUAUCGUUAUUGCGUUGUUGUAAUAACAAUUAAUUAUCGUGCUACUAUAUUUCAUUAUAAUUAUUAUCAAUUUAAGCAGUGAACAUCUAUCAGUAAGUUUUGCGCCUUGUUUCGAGUUAAUCGCAUGAAUUCUACAAUGUAUUAUUAUAUCGUUAUAAUAGUAUUAAAAUGAUACUAUUAUAUUACGCUAUAUCUUAAUCAAAAUACUAUGUUUUAUGAAUAUAUUUUUAUACGUGUUAUUUGCGACUACUGUAUGUCGUGGUAUAUUUCAUUCAUUUUAUGCGUAUAUAUAUGUAUAAAGCAUAUUUUCCUUACGCUAUUGUAUGUAUUCUUUGAAUAGGAAAUUAUGUCUAGGAAAUAUUGUUUUAAAGCUUUUUCCUUGAAAUUUAAGAGACAGUAAUGUGUCCUUUCGUAUCUCGUAACUUGUAACAUAAAUGAUAGAUAUAUAUCUGUAAAGAAAAUCUGAAACGUUUAAGUGAUUACCACGAACACCUGAAUAUAAUAAUUUAUUGAAAAAAUUCGGCAUCGAGAAUGAUUGGUAACUGGAAAAUAAACAAACGGCGCAAAGAUCCCGCGAGCAAUAUAGCUUAAGUAAAUGGAUGCCGUAAUA